AAGCUGUCCUCUGAAAUAGUCUCCCUGGUGGUUUAUACCCACCAUACUCACUGCUGCCUGAGACCCUGUUCCCGAGCGCUUCCAAAUCUUAAGACUGCCAGUGCACAAACGCUGAUUGGGGGCAAGAGACCCACAUCUGGUGCCUGAACAGGGACACACCAGGAGGUGUGGAAGAGAAAUGGAGAACCCUCUACCAAGGGAUGGCCACCAGCCACACUAUUUGCCAGGAAGUGGUUGCUGAUUCUCUGAAACCUUAUUUUAAAAAGGGAAUACACACUUAUCAAUCUCCUGGUUAAACAACCACUGUACUCACUACCACCUGAGACUCUCCUUCCCAGCUCCUCUGAAUCCUGACACUUCUGACACACAUUGGCCAAUUGGGAGCUGGGACCCCACACAUAACUACCUGUAACUCCAGCUCCAGGAGAUUAUAGAAGGAGUUGGCCUUUGAGGGCACCUGAACUCAUGUGAACACUGCCCCACACCUAUGCAUAAUUAAAAGUAAUAAAAAUAAAUUUUGAAGAUAAAAUGAGAAGACGCUCAGUACAGUAGUAGAACAUAACCCUUAAUAAUGUUAUUUUAAGCCUUGGUUGGGGAUUCACACUUGUACUUAUAGCUACUAAAUUUGUUAUAAAAUUAUUAAUUAAAAAUUUUUCAU
rnacentral:lncRNA from 1 species